CCUACGGGUGGCAGCAGUCGAGAAUCAUUCACAAUGGGGGAAACCCUGAUGGUGCGACGCCGCGUGGGGGAAUGAAGGUCUUCGGAUUGUAAACCCCUGUCAUGUGGGAGCAAAUUAAAAAGAUAGUACCCCAAGAGGAAGAGACGGCUAACUCUGUGCCAGCAGCCGCGGUAAUACAGAGGUCUCAAGAGUUGUUCGGAAUCACUGGGCGUAAAGCGUGCGGAGGCUGUUUCGUAAGUCGUGUGUGAAAGGCGCGGGCUCAACCCGCGGACGGCACAUGAUACUGCGAGACUAGAGUAAUGGAGGGGGAACCGGAAUUCUCGGUGUAGCAGUGAAAUGCGUAGAUAUCGAGAGGAACACUCGUGGCGAAGGCGGGUUCCUGGACAUUAACUGACGCUGAGGCACGAAGGCCAGGGGAGCGAAAGGGAUUAGAUACCCCUGUAGUC
rnacentral:rRNA from 1 species